CGGCGUGCCUAACACAUGCAAGUCGAGCGGCAUUCAGAUGAAGUUUCGGCGGAUUCUGAUGAGAGCGGCGGACGGGUGAGUAACGCGUAGGUAAUCUGCCCCUUACACAGGGAUAGCCCGGCGAAAGCUGAAUUAAUACCUGAUAAUGCGGUGAAGUCACAUGGCUUUAUCGCCAAAGAUUUAUCGGUGAGGGAUGAACCUGCGUCUGAUUAGCUAGUUGGUGAGGUAACGGCCCACCAAGGCAACGAUCAGUAGCCGACCUGAGAGGGUAAUCGGCCACAUUGGAACUGAGACACGGUCCAAACUCCUACGGGAGGCAGCAGUGGGGAAUAUUGCACAAUGGGCGCAAGCCUGAUGCAGCAACGCCGCGUGAGCGAUGAAGGUCUUCGGAUCGUAAAGCUCUGUCCUUAGGGACGAAGAAGUGACGGUACCUAAGGAGGAAGCCCCGGCUAACUACGUGCCAGCAGCCGCGGUAAUACGUAGGGGGCGAGCGUUAUCCGGAAUUAUUGGGUUUAAAGGGUGCGUAGGCUGUGCGGCAAGUCAGGGGUGAAAGCCCGCCGCCCAACGGCGGAACUGCCUUUGAUACUGUCGCGCUGGAAUACGGAUGCCGUGGGAGGAAUGAGUAGUGUAGCGGUGAAAUGCAUAGAUAUUACUCAGAACACCGAUUGCGAAGGCAUCUCACGAAUCCGUCAUUGACGCUGAGGCACGAAAGCGUGGGGAUCAAACAGGAUUAGAUACCCUGGUAGUCCACGCAGUAAACGAUGAUGACUAACCGUCGGCGAUACACAGUCGGUGGCCAAGCGAAAGCGAUAAGUCAUCCACCUGGGGAGUACGUUCGCAAGAAUGAAACUCAAAGGAAUUGACGGGGGCCCGCACAAGCGGAGGAACAUGUGGUUUAAUUCGAUGAUACGCGAGGAACCUUACCCGGGCUCGAACGGCAAGUGAACGAUACAGAGAUGUUGAGGCCCUUCGGGGCACUUGCCGAGGUGCUGCAUGGUUGUCGUCAGCUCGUGUCGUGAGAUGUUGGCUCAAGUGCCAUAACGAGCGCAACCCUUGCUGUCAGUUACCAGCACGUCAAGGUGGGGACUCUGACAGGACUGCCACCGCAAGGUGUGAGGAAGGCGGGGAUGACGUCAAAUCAGCACGGCCCUUACGUCCGGGGCGACACACGUGUUACAAUGGUGACUACAGAGGGAUGCCACCCAGCGAUGGGGAGCGGAUCUCGAAAAGUCAUCUCAGUUCGGAUUGGAGUCUGCAACUCGACUCCAUGAAGCUGGAUUCGCUAGUAAUCGCGCAUCAGCCAUGGCGCGGUGAAUACGUUCCCGGGCCUUG
rnacentral:rRNA from 1 species